rnacentral:rRNA from 1 species
UACGGAGGGAGCUAGCGUUGUUCGGAAUUACUGGGCGUAAAGCGCGCGUAGGCGGUUUCUCAAGUCAGAGGUGAAAGCCCGGGGCUCAACCCCGGAACUGCCUUUGAAACUAGGAGACUAGAAUCUUGGAGAGGUCAGUGGAAUUCCGAGUGUAGAGGUGAAAUUCGUAGAUAUUCGGAAGAACACCAGUGGCGAAGGCGACUGACUGGACAAGUAUUGACGCUGAGGUGCGAAAGCGUGGGGAGCAAACGGGG